rnacentral:lncRNA from 1 species
AGUGCCGGUCCUGAAAUAUUUAGGGUCCAAUACGAGACAAAAAAAUCAAGGCGCUAAUUAACAUAUAUAAAUUUAGAUUACUGUAACUUAAGUUUGUAAUUAGAUUUUCACUAUAUUGUUAAAGCUAAUGAUAGUCUAUCAAUUCUAAAAAAUGAUUUUCUUGUACUUUUUUUACAAAAUCGAGCAUUGAUUAAAAAUUUGAC